GACGAACGCUGGCGGCGUGCUUAACACAUGCAAGUCGAACGGAAAGGCCCUGCUUUUGUUGGGUGCUCGAGUGGCGAACGGGUGAGUAACACGUGAGUAACCUGCCCUUGACUUUGGGAUAACUUCAGGAAACUGGGGCUAAUACCGGAUAGGAGCUCCUGAUGCAUGGUGGGGGUUGGAAAGUUUCGGCGGUUGGGGAUGGACUCGCGGCUUAUCAGCUUGUUGGUGGGGUAGUGGCUUACCAAGGCUUUGACGGCUAGCCGGCAUGAGAGGGUGACCGGCGACAAUGGGACUGAGAGACGGACCAGUCGCCUACGGGAGGCAGAAGGGGGGAAUAUUGCACAAUGGGCGGAAGCGUGAUGCAGCAACGCCGCGUUCGGGAUGACGGCCUUCGGGUUGUAAACCGCUUUCGACUGUGACGAAGCGUGAGUGACGGUAAUGGGUAAAGAAGCACCGGCUAACUACGUG
rnacentral:rRNA from 1 species